rnacentral:misc_RNA from 1 species
GAAGAUUAUAUCAUAUGAUUGUUGCGUAUCAUGUUAGAAACUACUUUACAAUCGAAUUCGGCUCGAGAAAAGCCUAAAUAUGCCUGGUAGUCCUGAUACUUCCUGAUACAAGCCUCAAACGGAGAUAGGUCCUAUUUAAGUGUCAAUUCUAUUGAGGAACAAGUUCAAACAAAAGUAUCUAGCG